rnacentral:lncRNA from 1 species
GCUGUUCCAGGGGCCUGGGUGGGAGCAGCCCAGGAGCCUGCGUCUCCCCUCCUCGGCCCUGGGAGGCGGCUGGACUGUGCCACACGGGACGGGUGCUGAGGGACCGCUGGGUGCCCACCUCCCUGACCCCUCCUGCAGGGGUGCCUGCCAAGCAGCCUGGGCACUGCCGUCUGGAAGAUGCGCCGUGCCGGUUCUACACGGUGUUCCCUUGCUCCAGGCAGAAAGGCAGAGGAGCCUGGCAACCAUGUCCCAAGUUGGAAGGAAGCUCUGAGAACCCUGCUCCCCAGAAAUCCUGAGCAAAGGCUGGCUGGCCUACAGGAGCAGUCUAGAGUAAGAGCUGUUUCCUGGCAGAGGAUCAAGUAUCCAGGUCACAUUGAAGAGACAUGUGAGGACUCCAAUGGAGAACAAUUUGAGAGUGAGAAACCAGUUCUGGAGGCCAGGAAGUUCAAGAUCAAGGUGUUGGCAAGUUCAGUGUCUGCUGAGGACCUGAUCUCUCUUCUUUCAAGAUGGCAUCUUGUUGCUCUUCCCUCCAGAGAGUAGAAAUGCUGGAACCUCACAUGGAGGAAAAAAUGAAAAGGACCAAUGCUAGUUCCCUUCAGCCUUUUUAUGAACUCACUAAUUCCCAUUGAGGGCUCCACAUACAUGACUUAAUCACCUCCUAAAUGCCUGACUUCCUAAUACUCUCAUUUUGAAGAUUAAGUUUCAACAUAUGAAUUUGGGGGUCAUAUUCAGAACAUAGCACUUAUGAUACUAUCUCAAAUCAUAGACUGCUUUCUCGGUGGGCAUCUAUCUCAGUUUCUUUUCUGUUGUUAUUACAGAGUACCUGAGCCUGAGUAAUUUAUAAAGAAAAUACAUUUAUUUUGGCUCAUGGCUCUAUAGGCUGGGAAGUCCAAGAUUGGGCGGUUACAUCUGGUUGGCUCCUGGUGCGGGCCUCCUGCCGCAUCAUAACAAGGUAGAGAAGUGAAAGGGAAGGUGGGCUUGUAGGAAGGGGGCAAAGCAUGAAGGGCAGGCUUGCUUUAUAGAAACUGGGACACAGCACCCCACAGGAUGAGUGUAUAAAGGCUAGACAGACAAGGGGAUUGUUGUGUUGAACCUGAAAAGUCCCCUCACCUGGCAAUGCUCUCUGUUCCCUGUGAGAAGAAGGGGUUUCUUUUCUUCUGGGAUGAUUCAUCCCUUCACCUGUGGCCUUCCCUAGAGCCCAUCCUUGUGCCAUUCUGCUCUCCAGGCACAUCUCUCUCAGAUGAAUUCCCUCUUCCCUCUUCCUCUGGCCCCUCCUGUUUAUUUAUCUGUUUCCUCACCACUGUGUAAUCAGGUAGGCCCCACUGCUGUGACCUCUGGAAUAAUGAUUGAAUCUGCCCUAUCCUCUCCACAGUGAUGCCUGGGACCCAGCUGAGAUCUCCAUCAUCUCUCAAAACAACUGUGCACUGACCUCCUGACCUAAGCCCAGCCUCUGCCCACUCAGACUGACCUUCACGCAGCUGCACAAUGCUGCAUUUGGAAGCCGGACCUGACCACAUUCGUUUCCCUCUAGAUUCAUGUUCUGGAGAAAUGAAAAUGCUGUCUCAGUGGAAUGUUGAUUAGCUGGAGUGGAGACCCAAGAUCUCUGUCCAGGCAGGGCCAUCAAAACAUAGAAGUGCUCUUGGCUUUCCAAAAUCUGCACAUCUCCAACUUUUCUUUUAGCUAGAGGUGGCCCUGUGAUUGAUGAGUGACCAGCCAUGUGUGGAGAAAAGCAAUGUGAACAACUUCUGACUUCGCUGUUAAAGAAAAUUGGUCUGUCCCCCAUUUCCUUGCAUUCCCAUUCUUACUGGCUGAAAUUCAAAGCUGAUAAAUGGAGCUAGAGCAGAUAGCUGGGAAAAUGAGUUGAGGGUCUUACAUUAAGACUUGCCAGCAAGAAGAAGAAUUUUUCCAGGGUUCCUGACACCGCCAAAUUGUUCGAUCAGCUCUGAACUCUAUACUGAGAUUCUUUAAGUAUGAGAGACAUGAACUUUGACUGGCUUAAGUGAGCUAUUGAGGUCUCUUUGCUAUUGUGACCUAACUCAGGGGUCAGCAAAUAACACUCUGUGCGCAAAAUCUGACUACGAUCUGUUUUUGUAACUAAAUAAAAUUUCACUGAAACACACCCAUGCUCAUUUAUUUAGGUAUGGCUGCUUUCAUGAUACCAUGGCACAUUUGACUACCUAUAGACAGUGAUAUGAUGUGGAUCUGUGUCCCCACCCAAAUCUCAUGUUGAAAUGUAAUCCCCCUGUGCUGGAGGUGGGAUCUGGUGGGAGGUGAAAUGGGGGCGGUUUCUCAAGAAUGGUUUAGCUCCAUUUCUCUGCUGCUGUAUUCAUGAUAGUAAGUGAGUGAGUUGUCACAAGAUCUGAUUGUGUAAAAGUGUGUGGCACCUCCCCCUUCUCUCUUGCUCCUUCUCGGCCAUGUAAGACCUGCCUGCUUCCCCUUCACCUUCCACCAUGAUUGUAAAUUUCAU